ACAGCCAUACCACAUUGAAAACACCGGUUCUCGUCCGAUCACCGAAGUUAAGCAAUGUCGAGCCUGGUCAGUACUUGGGAGGGUGACCACCUGGGAACACCGGCUGUAACUGUAAGCU
rnacentral:rRNA from 1 species